ACGGGGUGCAGCAGGCGCGAAACCUUUGCAAUACACGAAAGUGUGACAGGGUUAUCCCGAGUGCCGUCCGCUGAGGAUGGCUUUUACCCAGUCUAGCAAGCUGGGGGAAUAAGGAGAGGGCAAGUCUGGUGUCAGCCGCCGCGGUAAUACCAGCUCUCCGAGUGGUGGGGACGUUUAUUGGGCCUAAAGCAUCCGUAGCUGGCCGUUCAAGUCCCCUGUUAAACCCAGCGAUUUAAUCGUUGGUCUGCGGGGGAUACUGUUCGGCUAGGGGGCGGGAGAGGCAGACGGUAUUUCCGGGGUAGGGGUGAAAUCCUAUAAUCCCGGGAAGACCACCAGUGGCGAAGGCUGUCUGCUAGAACGCGCCCGACGGUGAGGGAUGAAAGCUGGGGGAGCGAACCGGAUUAGAUACCCGGGUAGUCCCAGCUGUAAACUAUGCAGGCUAGGUGUUUGGGCGGCCACGUGCCGCUCUAGUGCCGCAGGGAAGCUGUUAAGCCUGCCGCCUGGGGAGUACGGCCGCAAGGCUGAAACUUAAAGGAAUUGGCGGGGGAGCAC
rnacentral:rRNA from 1 species